rnacentral:rRNA from 1 species
AUUGAACGCUGGCGGCAGGCCUAACACAUGCAAGUCGAACGAUUGGCUGACGGGUGAGUAAUGUCUGGGAAACUGCCUGAUGGAGGGGGAUCACUACUGUAAACGGUAGCUAAUACCGCAUACCAUCGGAUGUGCCCAGAUGGGAUGAGCUAGUAGGUGGGGUAACGGCUCACCUAGGCGACGAUCCCUAGCUGGUCUUGGAGGAUGACCAGCCACACGGGAACUGAGGCCUGGUCCAGACUCCUACGGGAGUCAGCAGGGGGGAAUAUUGCACGAUGGGCGCAAGCCUGAUGGAGCCAUGCCGCGUGUAUGAAGAAGGCUUUCGGGUUGUAAAGUACUUUCAGCGGGGAGGCGUUACCCGCAGAAGAAGAACCGGCUAACUCCGUGCCAGCAGCCGCGGUAAUAC